GCCAGGCCCCCGCGCCGCCGCUGGGGCUGCCCGGGCGCUGCCGGGCCCGCGGCGCUCCCGCUCCGGUUCGGUCCCGGUUCCUCCCGGUUUCUCCCGGUUCUGGCCCGGUUCCUCCCGGUUCGGUCCCGGUUCCGCCCGGUUUGACCCUGGUUCGGUCCCGGUUCGGUUCCUGUCCCGGUUUCUGUCCCGGUCCCGUUUCUGUCCCGGUCCCGUUUCUGUCCCGGUCCCGUCUCUGUCCCGGUCCCGUUUCUGUCCCGGUCCCGUUUCUGUCCCGGUUCAGUCCCGGUCCGGUCCCGGUGCGGGAUGCGGGCCUGGGCUCGGUGCCCGCUGGUCGAGGACAGCUUCAGCCGCCUCCGCUCCCAGAGCAACGUCUACGGGCUGGCGGCGCUGCCCGGUACCGGCACCGGCACCGACCCGGGCCGGCUGCCCGGGCCCGGUUCUGGCCCGGUCCCGGGUCCCGGUGCCGCUCCCCUUCCCGGUUCUGGCCCGGUUCGGGCUCCCGGGCCCGGUUCUGUCCCGGUUCCGGGUCCCGGUGCCGCUCCCAUUCUCGGUUCUGGCCCGGUUCGGGCUCCCGGGCCCGGUUCUGUCCCGGUUC
rnacentral:lncRNA from 1 species